GAGUUUGAUCCUGGCUCAGGACGAACGCUGGCGGCGCGCCUAACACAUGCAAGUCGAACGGAGCUUAGAGAGCUUGCUUUUUAAGCUUAGUGGCGAACGGGUGAGUAACGCGUGAGUAACCUGCCCUAGAGUGGGGGACAACAGUUGGAAACGACUGCUAAUACCGCAUAAGCCCACGGUACCGCAUGGUACUGAGGGAAAAGGAUUUAUUCGCUUUAGGAUGGACUCGCGUCCAAUUAGCUAGUUGGUGAGGUAACGGCCCACCAAGGCAACGAUCAGUAGCCGGUCUGAGAGGAUGAACGGCCACAUUGGGACUGAGACACGGUCCAAACUCCUACGGGAGGCAGCAGUGGGGAAUAUUGCACAAUGGGGGAAACCCUGAUGCAGCGACGCCGCGUGGAGGAAGAAGGUCUUCGGAUUGUAAACUCCUGUUGUUGAGGAAGAUAAUGACGGUACUCAACAAGGAAGUGACGGCUAACUACGUGCCAGCCGCCGCGGUAAUAC
rnacentral:rRNA from 1 species